UAAAUGUAGACAAUCCUUCCUCCAUACAGAGAAUAGCUAAAUAUUUGCCUUUUGUUUUCCCUUUAUGAUUUUUAUUUCAAAGAUUUUUAUUUUAAUCUACCUGGAAUAGAUAGCAGAACAUAGCAGUAGAUUAAAAUCUACAUUGAACUCUAUUUUCAAAUGUUCAAUAUUUCCUGCUAAAUUAUUAUACUCUUUUAUCAGAUAUAAAGUCUUAUAUAUACAGAGGUCUAUUUCUGAAUUGUGCCUUUCCUUCUAGACUGUAAGCUCCAUGCAGGUAGGCAAAUUUAUUGUAAUCACCUCAUGCUUAUCAUAUACUAUUCUCUGUUCAGCCUAAAGCAACCGAAGGGAGAAAAUAAGAAUUGAAAAAUCCUGUAGGGAAAUGAAAAGUAGCCCAUACUAAACUUGGAAAAAUUUAUUCUUCCUUCCCUAAAAUGCUACAGGUGUGAAUAAAAUCUUAUAAACCACGUUGGAAAGACACAGAAGAUAGACAGAAAUGUCAAGUCUAUGACAUGCAAUUGUAUAUAGAAAAAAAGAAGUCCAUUUGAAAUCUGAUUGAAUUUUAAGUACGUGGUACUUUCCUAAUGAAUAACCAUGGCCCUUAAAUUUUAUCUUAAAUGCUUAAUCAUAGGAUUUUAAUUCUCCUUAUUAUGGUUUAAAAAGAAAAUGCAAAUGUUACACUUACCAGCCAUGCAAAUAGUUGGGAGAAUAUAUUUAAGGUCACAUUUCUCUAGAAAGAGAGGCUGCUUGAUUCACUUAGGUUUCCCAAGUAAAAGUUCAAAAGCACUACUUGCUUAAAGGUUUUGACUUCUCAAAUCAUAAAGCAAUAAAGCAAUUUUGGGUUUUAAUUCUCUGAGUGUCUCCCCCUUUUAAUCAAACAUUACAGAGGCUACAAUAAUAUUGGUAGAAUAUUUAGAGAUAGGUCAGAGGUCUGUGAAGAAAUAAACUGCUUCAUUUCCAAGGUACUUCUAAGAUGAAGACACCUGCUUCGAGGACGUGGAGAUGGGUUGGGGGGCAGGAAUUUGUCCCAGGAAAAGUACAGUCACAAGCUACCAGGUUUGCUUAAAGAGAUUAUGUCAGACCUGCUGCUUCUCCCUCCCAAAUGCUCUAGAGGCUUCCAUAGCUUCUCAUCUGCUUCCUUCUUUUGUUCAACAGUACACCUUUGUGACAUUAGUUGGGGGUAUGUGCCAUCCUCCACCUAUCUAGUUAGUUUCCUCUCCCAUUGCCCUUGGUGGUUAUUGCCGAUUUUGACCUUUUAAGAACAGUCUUCAUUUCCAGUUUCUCCCUUAUUCUCUGCAGAAAAUCAUAACUUCUCUUU
rnacentral:lncRNA from 10 species